UACGUAGGGUGCGAGCGUUAAUCGGAAUUACUGGGCGUAAAGCGUGCGCAGGCGGAUUGUUAAGCAAGAUGUGAAAUCCCCGGGCUUAACCUGGGAAUGGCAUUUUGAACUGGCAGUCUAGAGUGUGUCAGAGGGGGGUGGAAUUCCACGUGUAGCAGUGAAAUGCGUAGAUAUGUGGAGGAAUACCGAUGGCGAAGGCAGCCCCCUGGGUCGACACUGACGCUCAUGCACGAAAGCGUGGGGAGCAAACAGG
rnacentral:rRNA from 1 species